GAAAAUGUUUCCACAGUUUCACAGGCCCACGAUGGACUCCCGCUCGAUUUGUACGACCAUCAUCAUCUGGAACACCCUAGAUGGUGUGACAAUGUGAAUACCACCUCAGCCAAAAACUAACGUGUAGGUCACCUUGACCAACAUAACAGGUCAAGAUUCUC